GCGGGAAUAGCUCAGUGGUAGAGCACUUCCUUGCCAAGGAAGGGGUCGCGAGUUCGAAUCUCGUUUCCCGCU
rnacentral:tRNA from 2 species